AUGGCUGCUCAACCAGUAGUAGGUCCACUGAUGAUGAGUGAUCCAGAGAGUGCUACUACCAAGAGUUCAACAACACAAGAAGAAGAUGUCUUACCCAAAAAUUUGGUAGCCACACUUCCAGCUAGAGAAGGGUGGUCUGAACCGCUCGUUCAAUACCACAACUACUGGUUCAGACCGGGGCACCUCGAGCGGAUCCUGCUCGUGAAGCAGGCCUUCGUGCCCCGCGCCGACGACAUCAUCCUCGCCACGCAGCCCAAAUGCGGCACCACCUGGCUCAAAGCCCUCGCCUUCACCAUAACCAACCGAUCCCGCUACGGCUUCAUCGACCACCCGCUCCUCACACACCACCCUCAGCAUCUCGUGCCGUUCAUCCAGAUCCCUGGUGCCGGCACGGGCCACACUGACAUCGACCCCUUUGGGUUCCCGAGGCUUCUCGCCACGCACACGCCCAUGUCGUUGCUCCCGCCAGGCAUGAGAUCACUCGGUUGCCGAGUCGUGUACCUGUGCCGGGACCCCAAGGACGCUCUUGUCUCAAGGCUGCACUUCGAGAACAAGGCGUUUCCGGGCACCGACCUAUCCAUGGACAGAUGUUUCAGCAUGUUCUGCAAGGGGUUCUCGCCUUAUGGCCCCUUCUGGGAUCACUGCCUCGAGUACUGGAGGGAGAGCAUGGCAAGGCCGGACAGCGUCCUCUUCCUUAAGUACGAAGAGAUCAAGUCUGAUCCAACGCAGGUUGUGAGGAAGCUGGCGAAAUUCCUCGGCGUCCCACUGACCGAGGAGGAGGAGAGGUCCGGUGUUGCUCAGGAGGUGGUGAGGCUGUGCAGCUUUGAGGCACUUACCAGCUUGCAAGUCAAUCAGGUCGGCCGCGUUCAUUUCAGUGAUAACAUUGUCAUGAGUAACUCUGUGUUUUACAGAAAAGGAGAAGUAGGGGACUGGGUAAACCACAUGAGCCAGGAGAUGGGGGAGGAGUUGGACCGCAUCGUCCAACACAAGCUUGAGGGAUCUGGGCUUGUGUUUUGA
rnacentral:rRNA from 1 species